UUUGACUACCAGGGUGAUCAUAAAAAUCAUAAAAUAUUUACCAUUCUUUAUGCAAUUCAUACUAUAAAUAAGUUCUAAAAAGUCUGCUAUUUACCAGGCACUGUAUUAGGGUAUGGGCAUUCAGGAAUGUGAGCAGUCCAUUCUCUUCCCUCACGGGCUUUAUUCUCAAGUGGGGGAAAUAAACAUUAAGCAAAUAAACAGAAGUAGAAAAUUAUUAUAUACCAUGAAGUGGCGGCUCCCAUUAGAAAGACUAGCAGAGUAGUCUAUGUUAGAUGGAUCAGGGCAAUCUUUUCUGAAGAAGGGGCAUCAAGCUAAAUUUAGAAGGGGAGCAGGUCUCAGCUAAGUGAAGAUGCAGUGGCUGGGGCAAGGCUUCAAGACAGACUGGGGCAAGCACAAGAUCCUGAGGCAGAAGCGUGCUUGUGUGUCCGAAGACCCAAAAGAUGGUUGAAGUGACUGAAGAGCAGCGUAGAGGUGACCUUUUAUGGGACUGGGAAGGUGUUGAGGCUCCGUGUAGACCAGGCACUGGCCCUGAAUCUUGCUGUCACAAGCUGAAGCAUCUGACUCAGAAAUCAGGACAUCUGACUUUAGGGUGAAGACUUGAGACAUUCAAUACAUGUGUAUUGACUGCAUUUUAAAAGCCUUAGAGAAAGAUAACAGCAUUUCAUAUAUAACAUGGAUGUAAAAAUGUAUUAUCUUGUGAGUACAUGUGUUUAACCUUGCUGCCUUCCUUCCUUCAUCUCUAUUUACUUGACAAAUAAAUAUGCAGAGUUUAUUAUAUGCCAAACGCUGUUAAGGUGCAGGGAAUAGAGCAGUGAACUGAGCAGGCAAAAUCCCUGUUCUCAUGACGCAUUCUGGUUGGGAAGAUGUUGACAGUAAAUGAAUAAGUAUAUUUAAAAUGAGUGUACAUUAUACCACUGUUUUAUACAUAUAUAUGUACAGCACAUAUAGACACAUACACAGAUGCCUUGUAAGACUAUAUACA